rnacentral:rRNA from 1 species
AUUGAACGCUGGCGGCAUGCCUUACACAUGCAAGUCGAACGGCAGCACGGGAGCAAUCGUGGUGGCGAGUGGCGAACGGGUGAGUAAUACAUCGGAACGUGCACAAUCGUGGGGGAUAACGCAGCGAAAGCUGUGCUAAUACCGCAUACGAUCUACGGAUGAAAGCAGGGGAUCGCAAGACCUUGCGCGAAUGGAGCGGCCGAUGGCAGAUUAGGUAGUUGGUGAGGUAAAGGCUCACCAAGCCGUCGAUCUGUAGCUGGUCUGAGAGGACGACCAGCCACACUGGGACUGAGACACGGCCCAGACUCCUACGGGAGGCAGCAGUGGGGAAUUUUGGACAAUGGGCGAAAGCCUGAUCCAGCCAUGCCGCGUGCAGGAUGAAGGCCUUCGGGUUGUAAACUGCUUUUGUACGGAACGAAACGGCCUUUUCUAAUAAAGAGGGCUAAUGACGGUACCGUAAGAAUAAGCACCGGCUAACUACGUGCCAGCAGCCGCGGUAAUACGUAGGGUGCAAGCGUUAAUCGGAAUUACUGGGCGUAAAGCGUGCGCAGGCGGUUAUGUAAGACAGUUGUGAAAUCCCCGGGCUCAACCUGGGAACUGCAUCUGUGACUGCAUAGCUAGAGUACGGUAGAGGGGGAUGGAAUUCCGCGUGUAGCAGUGAAAUGCGUAGAUAUGCGGAGGAACACCGAUGGCGAAGGCAAUCCCCUGGACCUGUACUGACGCUCAUGCACGAAAGCGUGGGGAGCAAACAGG